rnacentral:rRNA from 1 species
AACGAACGCUGGCGGCAUGCCUAACACAUGCAAGUCGAACGAGACCUUCGGGUCUAGUGGCGCAAGGGUGCGUAACGCGUGGGAACCUGCCCUUAGGUUCGGAAUAACUCCCCGAAAGGGGUGCUAAUACCGGAUAAUGUCUUCGGACCAAAGAUUUAUCGCCUUUGGAUGGGCCCGCGUUGGAUUAGCUAGUUGGUAGGGUAAAAGCCUACCAAGGCGACGAUCCAUAGCUGGUCUGAGAGGAUGAUCAGCCACACUGGGACUGAGACACGGCCCAGACUCCUACGGGAGGCAGCAGUAGGGAAUAUUGGACAUUGGGCGAAAGCCUGAUCCAGCAAUGCCGCGUGAGUGAUGAAGGCCUUAGGGUUGUAAAGCUCUUUUACCCGGGAUGAUAAUGACAGUACCGGGAGAAUAAGCUCCGGCUAACUCCGUG